rnacentral:lncRNA from 1 species
GGCUGGGCCGCUGUGUCCCGGUCCUGGAAGAGGGCAGGUGAAGCAGGAGCAGGGGCCGCACACUGUGGCUCUCUGUUGGCACCCAAGUCCAGCUCCGAGCGCUGCCCCCAGGGCCGGGAGGAGGGGCACACGGAGAGGGCAGUCCUUCCCACCACCACCACCCCUGCCCCUGUGGGAGGCCAGGAACAGCAGGGUUGAGCUGCCCCCCACGGGGUGAAAAGUGGGAUGCGUCUGGACGGAGGAAACGGGGGGGGGCGUUCUUGCUCUGAGCCCCCAGAGGGCGAGGGCAUGAGGUGCAUGGGCGAUGGGGAGGCCUCCAGCACGGGCAGGGCGCUGUGGCUCCAGGAGGCAGACCAGGUCUGCCGCAGCCGAGGCCGGACCAGGGGAGGCCCCGAGGCUGUGAUAAGGAACUGGUUCCGUCGCGGAGCUGCUGGGAAACUGCGGGGCCGUGAACUGGACGAGACCCCUCUGCGGCUUCUGGGUGGGGAGGGGGUCGAGGGGCGGCAGUGAGGCUGCAGAAGCCCGGGCCGUGGGGUGCCGUGGGGGAGGCUGGGCUUUGAGGCUGGGCUCCUCGGGGCCGGGGAGUCCGCCCUGCCCGGCUCAGCCCUGCCUCCGUCCUGCAGUUUUCGCGGGGCCCCCGGACCCUCUGCACGGGAACAGCUUGUACCAGAAGGUGCGGGCGGCUGCCCAGGUGAGCCCAGGACCGGACUGCUCCCCACUCUCCCUGCCUGGACCCCGGCUCUGCUCCUGCGGCGGGACCGGAGCCCAUGCGUGGCCCUCAGAAGAGGGGGUGCGGCGGGCAGGCGGGCAGGGGGCCAUGCUCAGAGCCCUCCAUCUCCAUCUAGGACCUGGGGGCCGCCUUGUUCUCAGAUGCCUUGUCACCCCCGCCUCCCUCCCAGCCUCCCAGGGCCCCACCUCCAGCAGGCAUGGGCUCCCAGUCCCGGCCCCAGAGCGCUCUGCAGGGCUUCGGCUACAGCAAAGAUCAGCGCCACACAGGUGAGCACUGCGG